CCUUUGGAAGAGCAGUCAGUGCUCUUAACCGCUGAGCCAUCUCUCCAGCCCCCUUUGACAGCAUUUCAACCUGGUGCUUUUCCAAUGAUGUUCAGUGUAUAAUCUGUCAUGGUGAUUCAGUAAACAAUAGCCCUGGAACUUUUGGAAAGAUGGGGGCUGGCCAAAGCCUGCAUCUGCAUCCAGGGUCUGGGUGUCACCCCAGUGCCUUGCUGUCAGAGCCUGAAGGGGCCCUGCAUUCUCUGGCCUUGAUCUUACAUUUUUAUCUUCUCUAUAUUCUGAACACAAUGAGCUUAACGUUCUUGACCAUGCUCCUUCAUGACCUUGAUCCUUCACCAAUAUAGCCAAUUUAUAAACCAGGCUGGCCUUGAACUAAAUGCAUGGUCCACCUCUGCCUGGCAACCUAGUGGCUUUGUUUUACUACCUAGCCCGAUGACUGCUCCCUGUGAAGCUCCUAGCUUUGCUGCCUGGGUAUCUGCAGGAGACUCCCUGCUCAGCAGGGCCAGGGUUCCCUGGUCCAGGACCUUUUUGUCAGAAUGUCAUCUCAUGUUUCUCUUUGUGAUGAAAGUGCAUGAUGAAGACGCUUCAACAGCCUGUUCCUGCGCUGUGAGAUGCACUGUGGGUCCCUCAACAGCAUAGUCCCCAAGCCACAAUGAGAGAAGUUAGAGAACACAGCUGGUUGUCUGUGAAAAGGAGCUGAGAGGGAUGAAGUAAACGAGUGGGUGCCCUUAGCACUCAGAUACCGUGCUCAUCGGCCAGACAGACUGUUAGCGUGUUCUCGUGAAGUUUGCCGGGGUAUCUGCUGAGUUUACAAAGUCUCCUAAGGGAGUUGGCUUCAUCCUGGAGUCUUGUUCAGCCUGUGAGGAGUGCCAGAGCCACAGUGUCUAUCAACAGCUCGUUCAGGAGCCCUUCUUCCAGCUUCCUACUACACACAUCUCUCUGCUGCACAGCCCAGAAACUAAGCAUAAACAGUGGACGCCACCCACAUUGGUACUGGUUCUGUUGUCAGGGGUGAGUUUGGAAGUGGGCAUCUGGCCUUAGCCCUGCAGAAAACUUAUGAAUGGAUUCUCCCAGGCAGGACCAGGAAAGAACUCUUUACUUCUGAAAGGAAGGCACAGAAGAAAGUAGUUCUCCACUUCUGCCAAAUAAUGUCCUGUCUUUGUCUACUGCUCACGUCUCGGCAGCCAGCUUACAACCAUGAGGAGCAGGAGCUGCUGAAGCCAGUUGUCUGAAGGGGGCAGGGCAGAAGGUGCAAAGUGCUUGCAUUGUAUUUUUUAAUUAUAUUAUUUUGUCUGCACAUGUGAUAUGUGCCUGCAGGUGUGUGUGUGUGUGUGUGCAUGUGUGCAUGCAUGCAGUUGUGUGUGUGCAUGUUUGUGUAUGGAGGUCAGAUCAGAGGACAACUUUCAGGAGUCAGUUCUCUUCCUCCACUGUGGGGUCGAGGGAUCUAGCUGGUGGUGUCAGGUUUUCAUGACAAAUGCCUUUACCUGCUGAGCCAUCUUGGAGCCUGCACAUGAACUUUAAAGAUGUGUUUCAGGGGCCAUAGUGUGGCUCAGCAGUGAGGCACAUGCAAGGAUUGAUUGCUGCUACACACACACACACACACACACACACACACACACACACGCUGCAGAAAUAGCUAGCCUCAGCCUCCCUCAGCUUAUUUUACAGGUUACAUUUUCUUCUCUACUGUAUAAUUCACUAACAGUUCAGAGUGUGUUCUUGUCUUCCUUUCUCCAUUGACUUACUAAGUCCUUUUUCUGUAGCAAUUCCUCUGCUGCACUCGGAGGGAGGGAGGGAGGGAGGAUGAAUUUAUAGCUAGCGUUGAAUUUUUUCCUUCACACCAUUCUCUCUGAAGUUAUUUAAAUGUGAUUAUUUUCAAUCUUAAGGCAUAUUUGAAUUUAGACAUGGCUUGUUUAAAAAAAAAUGUAGCAUUUCCCUCUCAAAGUUCCUUAAUGGAAACUGUGAACAGCUGCACAGCUAGGAAGGAAGCUAUUCUACAAAGAACAACAUGCACGGAGAGACUUCUGGAAACCUGCGCCCAACCAGUGCAAGGGCUAAAGAGAGGACAUAGAGGAUUGGAGCCAUUGGGUUCUGCUGGAAACACAAGGUUGAAGGGGAAAAAAAAAAGUGGGCAGAGCAUGCGCAGCCCAUGGAAAGACUGACUGAACUUCACAGCUGCUAAAAUUAACUGAGGUUCCCAGUGCAAACGGAUUUAACACUGGUGGGUAGUGUGGGGUCCAGGGUGGGGGCUGCAAAUGAAUGGAAGCACCACGUGGAUCAGGGAGCCCUGCACUGGGUGCUGGAUCCCUAGCCCAGCCUGGCUGUGAGUCAGAGUAUCCCACACCCCUUGGCAGGAGCUGGCGGCUUGCAGAGCUCACAGCAUCAGAGAGGAGCUAGUGAGAGACAAGAUUCUUGCAGUCUACUCUAGGAAAAAGAAGAAUGCACGUAAAAAAUAAAAUUCUCUGUCUAUCUCUCUGCUCUCUGUCUCUGUCUGUCUCUCUGUCUCUGUCUGUCUCUCUGUCUCUCUCUUUGGUCUGGCUGGGCAUCCCUGCAUGACACGGUGGGGUGGAGAGAGAUAGAAGAAGAGGAGGCAGCAUGUUCAUCUUCUCCUCCGCCCCGUGCAACACACCUUUGUCAAAGUGAGUCACCCCACAAUUACAGAAGUUACUCUCUGCUAAAGCUCAACAAAACCCCAACGUGUUCCAUAGGAGUGUAAGCCUGCCCAUUGACUGCUGGGAAGUUCCAUAGGAGUGUAAGCCUGCCCAUUGCCUGCUGGGAAGUUCCAUAGGAGUGUAAGCCUGCCCAUUGCCUGCUGGGAAGCCAUAGGAGUGUAAGCCUGCCCAUUGCCUGCUGGGAAGCCAUAGGAGUGUAAGCCUGCCCAUUGCCUGCUGGGAAGCCAUAGGAGUGUAAGCCUGCUCAUUGCCUGCUGGGAAGCCAUAGGAGUGUAAGCCUGCCCAUUGCCUGCUGGGAAGCCUGAGGACUCUAAGGAAGGACCCCAGGGGCACUUUAGCCACCUUUGGACUCCUGACUUCUGGUGGAUGCUACCUCACUUCCUCUCCAGAGUUUCUUCUUCGGCCAAACCAUCUUGUAUCCCUGGUGAAUCCUCCGGCCGGAUAAGUGAGCAGGACAGGUCAUUUGCUGGAAAGAAUCUUUGAUAGCUCCUGUAGAGUAAGCCCGGUGUUCAAGACCACCUGUGGACCCAUCUUGCUUUCUGUCUAAGCAUAUUAGAUGGCAUGAGUCUCUCAUUCCUCCAGCAAUGGCUGCUGAUGCUGAGCAGGUCAUGGACCUGACUACCAGACUCCAUUGGUGCAUUACCCUUUAUUGGCUGCAAGACUUUGGUUGAGUGAAGAAUCCAGCCUCAGUUUUUUCAUCCAGAAAGUGGGCAUGGUCAUUGCACUUUCCACGUAGAAUUGCUGAGAAGAUUAUGUGAGGUAAGAAGCCUGAGACCUCACCAAGGAACUGCAUAGAAGCUGAAGCCUUUACCAUGUAAUCUGUGGUCAGAAUGAAAACCGUAAGCAUUUUGGAGGAAGGGAUACAGUCUGAAUGAACUAUGCUUCAGGGAAACUACUCAUAGCAUCUAAUAGGAACUUUAGAAUAGGUGGCAUGUAUAUGUGUACAUAUGUGUAUACAUAUAUAUUAUAAGAAGAGUUGUGGGCUGAUGAGAUGGCUCAGUAAGAGCACCGACUGCUCUUCCGACGGUCCAGAGUUCAAAUCCCAGCAACCACAUGGUGGCUCACAACCAUCUGUAAUGAGAUCUGAUGCCCUCUUCUGGAAUGUCUGAAGACAGCUACAGUGUACUUACAUAGAAUAAAUAAAUCUUAAAAAAAAAAAAAAAGAUGUGAUGGUAUUUAAAAGAAGAAGAAGAAGAAGAGUUGUUAGAUUUGGAUCGGCGAGGCAGUCAGCAAUAGCUGUCUCAGAGUGAGAGGGCUGAGAACCUGGUGGCUGCUCAGUCAUGUGGCUAGAUGUCUCCGCAGUCCCGAUUGGGCUUUGAAAACCUGGAGAAUUCCUGGAGAACCACUAGUCUUCGGUUGGCGUUAGAAGCGUGGAGAAGCUGGAUUCUGAUACAGCAAAGAAAUACAGCAGCAGCAGCAGCAGCAACCGGAUAGAUGAAGUUGCCAACAAGAGUGCAGAAUGUAGGCAAAGGAACUGGCGCAACCUGCAGAGGACUGGGUUCUGCUCUCUGGUGCCUAUGUGGUGGUUUGCAGCUAUUCUCAGCUUCUAGUGCCAGGCACCCAGCACCUCCUCCGACCUCCCUGGCCACCAGGCAUGUACACAUGUUGUGCACAUACAUGCAUGCAGGCAAAACAUACCUAUAAAAUAAAUAAAUCUUAAUGUAAAAAAAAAAAGCAAAGGCAAGCAGGCACAAAGUGAAGCUUCCGUCCAUCUCCAUUUAUCUGAGCUGCCACCAAAAGAUGCCGCCCACAUCGGGUGAUUCUUCCCACUUGAUGUCAUUUGGUGGAGAAAAUUCCUCCCAAGAAUACCCUACAGUCUGCCUUUUAGUUGUUCCCGGGUCCAGUCAAGUUGACAGCCACGGUUUAUCGUCAGAGGAGGCUUACAGUUUCUGGUGUCCACUCAGCUUCCGGUUCUCCACGACCUCUCACUCCCAGCCAACGUUUGUAGAAUGAAGUGUGCGUCAUCUGGAUACAGAGUAAGGGCACCUGGAAGGGGACAAAAGGGAGAGCUAUCUGUCCACAGUUUUCUCCUGUCCUGACCAUUUUACGGGGUCUUCCUUCUCAUGCGAUGCUUCAGGUUUAACAUGCUAGCACCCAGUUUUACAGCACAGAAUUGAGACAUUUUGAGAAGAUCUAAAAUAUGUUAUUGUGUGUAUGUGCUUGAAGUGAACACAUGUGGCAUGGCAUGCAUAUGGAAGUCAGAGGACAAUUUUUUGUGGAGUCUUUUCUCCUUCACCUUUAGUGUGUUCUGGGACUUAAACCUAGGUCACCAGGUUUGUGUGACAAGCUCCUUUACCCACUGAGUAGUCUCCCUAGCCCUGGAGAAGAUUUUAAUGGGAAGAAUUAAGAUGAGUCUUAGCUCUAAUAAGUACCAACCGGAUAUCAUAUUAUGAGCCAACUGUACUAGGCAGAAUAGUUUCCCACCCAAUGUGAUUACCCUGCUCUCCAGGAACUGUGAUGAUGUUGUCUUAUAUGGCAAAGGGGGUCUCUGAAUAGAAUUACAUUAAGGAACCUCAGUACCUUGAAAAAUGCCAGGGUCCAGUAUAAUUACCUGGAGCCUUUGGUCGGCCUGUUUGUUUUCUUUGAGGCAAGGUCUUGUGUAGUUUAGGCUGGCCUUCAUCUAGAUAUAUAGCCAAAGUUGGCCUUGAACUCCCUAUGCCUCUACCUCUACUUCCAACCCUGAAAAUGCUGAGAUUUCAAGCAUGUGAUAACAAGCUCAGGUCUACCUGGCACUGAGGAACUAGUUGCUGUGUCCAGACUACUGAAGGCAUGGCAGGACUCCCAAGAGCCAGGGAAGGCAAGGGAGUCCCCCGAGCCUCCAGAAAGGAAGGCAGCCCUGACACACCUCAACACUGGCUCUGGGAGGCCUGUCUGGGCUCUGACCUCCAGGAAUGGUCAGCAAAGAGUCCCAGCUCCAAUGCCACUGGCUAGUGGUGUGUGAGGCAGCUAUGGAAAAUGAAUACACUUCCCAGGUGCCGAUGAGGCCAAACACAGGGGACAUGCCAUCAUUUUCCACUUUGGAGAACUCACCCAGUGAGGGAGACAGACAAGAAGACUCUUCAUAGCAGUAGGGUUCCUAAGGGGCCACAUUGACUAGGGAAUUAUCUCUGCCUAGGGAUCAGAGAGACACAGAGCAGGUGAGCUAGGGUGUGUCUCUGGGAUAGGUAGUAGUUUGUUUUUUAUUUUAUUUGUCUUGAAGUGGGGAAAAGGAAAUGCAGGCUCAGGGGACAGUAUGCACAAAGACACUACAGUAGGAGAAAUAUGAUGUAUUUCCAUCUGCGAAGACAGCGGCAGUGGAACCAGGGACUGAGGAGAGGCAGUGUGUGCGUGUGUCCGUCCAUCCUCCAGUGUCCUCAGAGUGAGGAAGGAGGUGGGCAUCUCUGGGCUUUCUGCAGAGAGGAGGACCUUCCUGGAGUUCCAGUCACCAGAAACUCCCACCUGGCUCCUUCUUGGAAUCUUGUUUUGUGCCUCAGAAAUGGACACGAAGGGACUGGGGAUUGAUUCAGAGAGUAAAGCAACUGGCCACAGGAACUAGGACUUGGAUUCAGGUCCCCAGAACCCAUUUAGAAAGCCAGGCAUAGCAGUCACCCCUGCAGCCCCUGUGUUGUCGGUGUGCCUGUAUGUGCACGCCUAGCCAAAAGGAUGUGCAUCUGGCUCAGUGAGAGAUCCUGCCUCAGAAAAUACAGACGAAAAGGGAUGGGGGUGGGAAGUGAUGUUGACCUCUGACCUCUAUGUGCAUUGGCAUACACUUUGUUAGGGUUAAUAUUGCUGUGAUGAAAUACCAUGAACCAAGGCUUAGAGAAGAAAGUGUUUAAUUGGGGGUUUCCUUACAGCUUCAAGGGUUAGACUGUGGUCAUCAUGGUGGGAAGCAUGGUGGCAGGCAAGCAGGCAGGUGCAGUGCUGGAGCAGUAGCUGAGAGCUUAAAAUAGCAGCAGCCAGAGAGAGAGCGAGACUGAGUCUGGUAUGAGCUUUUGAAGCCUCAAAGCCAACCCCCUGUGACACACCUCCUCCAACAAGGCCACACCCCUGUGACACACCUCCAACAAGGCCACACCUUCUAGUCAUUCCUAAACAGAUUGCCCACUGGGGACCAAACAUUUAAAUAUAUGAAUGUAUAGGGGUCAUUCCUAUUAAACCACUAACACACACACACACACAAAUAUGCACAUACACAGAAUUUUUAAAAAGUGGAUAUGUACUGGGCAGUGGUGGUACAUGCCUUUAAUCCCAGCACUUGGGAGGCAGGCAGAUUUCUGAGUUCGAGGCCAGCCUGGUCUACAGAUUGAGUUCCAGGACAGCCAGGGCUAUACAGAGAAACCCUGUCACGAAAAACAACAACAACAACAAACAAACAAAAAAAAGUGGAUAUGUUUGUGCCUUCUGUUCCACAAUUAAUCCCUGAUGGUUUCAGAAUAAAAAUAGUGAUUUGAGGCUGGAGAGAUGGCUCAGCCAAGAGAGCACUUGCUGCUCCCGCAGAGGACCUGCAAUUGGUUCCCAGCAGCCACAAGGUGACUCACGACCAUCUGUAAUGGUUCCAGAGGAUCUGAUACCAUCCUCUGGCCUCCUCUGGCGCCAGGCAUGCACAUGCAUGCAGAUAGACACUCAGACACACAAAAUAAAAGGAAUAUGUCCCUUUUAAAAAGUGAUUCAAGGGCUGGAGAGAUGGCUCAGUGGUUAAGAGCACUGACUGCUCUUCUGAAGGUCCUAAGUUCAAAUCCCAGCAACCACAUGGUGGCUCACAACCAUCUAUAAUGAGAUCUGACGACCUCUUCUGGUGUGUCUGAAGGCAGCUACAGUGAACUUACAUAUAGCAAUAAAUAAAUCUUUAAAAAAAAAAAAGUGAUUCAAUUGCAUAGUGGUUAAAUGACUCAGUUUCCCUCCAAGAUAAAAAGAAAAACAAAACUACUUCCAUUAUAAAUAUUAUCAUACAAACUUUGUGGAGUUUGCUUCUUCUAGAGUGCCCCAGUAUACCCUAAGGGUAUUUAUGUUGGAAUUGAAGAAGGGAACUGACAUAGUUUAACUUUUUUUCUGUCUCUCUGUGUGUAUCUGUGUGCGUGUGUGUGUGUGCGUGUGUGUGUGUGUGUGUGUGUGUGUGUGUGUGUGUGUGUGUAGGUCAGAGGUUGUUAUCCAAUGCCCUCCUCUAUUGCUGUUCGUUUCAUCUUUUGAGACAGGGUCUCUCAUUGGCCAACAAGCUGUAGGAUCCUCUUGUCUUCUCUCCCCUCAGUGAUAGAGUCCUGGCACAUGCUGCCAUGACUGGCUUUUACACGGUAGCUGGAGAUCCAAGCCAGGUUGUCAUGCUUACACACUCAGCUAUCACGUGUGUGUGUGUGUGUGUGUGUGUGUGUGUGUGUGUGUGUGUAUGUGUGCAGGCAUGCUUACAGGCUUGGCUGGUAAACCGUCAAGCUCCAGGGAUCUACCUGUCUUCUGCCUCCCUCCUCAACACCCCUGGGACUGCCCGGCUUUUUAUCUGAGUUCUGUAGAUCUGACCUCAGGUCUCAGUGCUUCUGAGGCAGGUUUUUACUACCCUGGCCUGCGAGAUUUUUCAAGUUUU
rnacentral:lncRNA from 1 species